GAGGCUGAACCGGAAGCACAUCGAAAGGUCUGGAACAGCAGGGAAUGCUGAGAAAGGCGAGCAAGGAGGAGAGGAAAAACUGCUGAGUUCAGGGUUGCAUGCUGUGUGGAAGAGUUGAGAGAUGAAAAAGCAAAGGAGAGAUGAUUUUUCAGAGUUGACAAAACCGUUGCCGGUGGUCCACAUGUCCUUCACACCACAUGGAUGCCCAAAGCAGGACUUACAGCAGAUAACAAUAACAGGCUCCUCACUAACAACUGCCAAGGCUUAGACCCCGUCCCCAUUCCUGUGGAUUCUCAUCUCCUGUGGCCGACUCUAGAAUUUACCCAUUCGUAAAAAAAAAAAUUGCAGUUGAUAAAGUGAAACCAAUUUCCUCUGCC